AGAUGGUUAGUCCAAUAAAAGAUCACUGAUUUCGGCUCAGUAGACCAUGGUUCAACUCCAUGACCAUCUU
rnacentral:tRNA from 1 species